rnacentral:ncRNA from 2 species
UAUCUUUGCAUUGUAUCAGGUAUCCUAAGUUUAAAAAAAAACGAUAAAGAUUAAUAGGGAAUACUGUGAAAAUCAGUAACACUACCCGGUGCUGUAAACUCUUCAAGUUUCUUCGCAAAUACCACUGUCUUUUUGAUGGGAAGGUGCAAGAAAUAGGAGUAAGUCAGAAGACCUGCCUCAUACAAAUACUUUUA